rnacentral:rRNA from 1 species
AACGAACGCUGGCGGCGUGCCUAAUACAUGCAAGUCGAACGAGAAAGCGUAGCAAUACGUUAGUAAAGUGGCAGACGGGUGAGUAAUACAUAGGUAACCUACCUCUAAAUUGGGGAUAACCUUCCGAAAGGAGGGCUAAUACCGAAUGAGACCACAGGGACACAUGUCCAAGGGGUUAAAGACGGCCUCUACUUGUAAGC